UACGGAGGGAGCCAGCGUUGUUCGGAAUUACUGGGCGUAAAGCGCACGUAGGCGGCUCAGCAAGUCAGGGGUGAAAUCCCGGGGCUCAACCCCGGAACUGCCCUUGAAACUGCUAAGCUAGAAUCCUGGAGAGGCGAGUGGAAUUCCGAGUGUAGAGGUGAAAUUCGUAGAUAUUCGGAAGAACACCAGUGGCGAAGGCGGCAUCCUGGACCGGCAUUGACGCUGAGGCGCGAAAGCUAGGGGAGCAAACGGG
rnacentral:rRNA from 1 species